AGAGUUUGAUCCUGGCUCAGAAUCAACGCUGGCGGCGUGCCUAACACAUGCAAGUCGAACGAGAAAGUGGAGCAAUCCAUGAGUAAAGUGGCGCACGGGUGAGUAACACGUGACUAACCUACCCUUGAGUGGGGAAUAACCUGGAGAAAUCUAGGCUAAUACCGCAUAACACCUACGGGUCAAAGGAGCAAUUCGCUUAAGGAGGGGGUCGCGGCAGAUUAGCUAGUUGGCGGGGUAAUGGCCCACCAAGGCGGUGAUCUGUAUCCGGCCUGAGAGGGCGCACGGACACACUGGAACUGAAACACGGUCCAGACUCCUACGGGAGGCAGCAGUGGGGAAUUUUGCGCAAUGGGGGAAACCCUGACGCAGCAACGCCGCGUGGAGGGUGAAGUCCCUUGGGACGUAAACUCCUUUCGAUCGGGACGAUUAUGACGGUACCGGAAGAAGAAGCCCCGGCUAACUUCGUGCCAGCAGCCGCAGUAAUACGAGGGGGGCAAGCGUUGUUCGGAAUUAUUGGGCGUAAAGGGUGCGUAGGCGGUUCGGUAAGUCUUAUGUGAAAUCUUCAGGCUCAACUUGAAGUCUGCAUGAGAAACUGCCGGGCUUGAGUGUGGGAGAGGUGAGUGGAAUUUCCGGUGUAGCGGUGAAAUGCGUAGAUAUCGGAAGGAACACCUGUGGCGAAAGCGGCUCACUGGACCAUAACUGACGCUGAUGCACGAAAGCUAGGGGAGCAAACAGGAUUAGAUACCCUGGUAGUCCUAGCCCUAAACGAUGAUCGCUUGGUGUGACGGGUACCCAAUCCCGCCGUGCCGAAGCUAACGCGUUAAGCGAUCCGCCUGGGGAGUACGGUCGCA
rnacentral:rRNA from 1 species